GCUCAACAUUCACAUGUCCUGCCUCACUUAACGAUUCCUCCACAGUUGACCAGCAAGGCUUCAUUUUCCAAGUCUCUUGUACUGCAAGGCUCUUGUAGGAGUUCUGUGGACGCAAGAAGAAAGAUCUUAUCUAGAAGUUUGAUAAAAGAUUAAUGGUGUCCUAUAUGCUGCUGAAUUCCCUUUUAAUCUAUGAAGAAGGCAUCUUUCAUUAGAGAGACUGAUGACUAUUACUACAAAUAUCCCACAGAGCCUUCGAUUAUGCUGGAAGGAGGGUGAAAAUGACAUGCCAGAAGCUACGCAAGAGAGAUGAUGCACAUUAUUCUAAUUUUAUGAGGUUGUAGAUCUUGGGAAAAGGAGAGAUUUAUAACGCCACUCCCUACAAUAAUUAAGAAAGUGUGUGUAUGAUUUAUGUGUAUGUAGUGGGAAGAUGGGGUAAUUUGCUGAAAAUAUCACAGAAAAUAGAAUCUCUGAAUAAAAAUGAUCUGUGCAAUAUGUGUUUUCUCAGGAUACCUCAGAAGAACCCAAAUAUUCUAUACUAGUCAUGAGGUAAAAGUUCAUUUUUCAAAUUGAAAAAUAUCUUUCUGUGCUGCAGAACUCAGCCAUCGUUUUCUCUUUCAUUUCUCAGUGAUUUGGUGCUAGCUAAAAAUACAUGUCAUAUUCAAUGCCACAGAGCCUGAAAAACACCGCUGAUCAGCUGCCAACAUAAUGUUUUAUAAAUCUUGUCAUCUUAAUGUGAGCAGAAAUUAGGUAGGGAUUUUACUUUAAACUAAGCAUAAGCCUGAUUUGUCAGGUCUUUUAAGUGUAGGCUUGCGGGUAUUGCAUAAAUGUCAACUGCAUAUACAGAUCUUGAGGUAGAGUUUGUUAAGGCAAGUUAUUUAAAAAAUAUUUUUAAAAACUGUUGAUACUAUAUUUUGUAAUUUUUUCUUCCCUUCAUUUACAAUUACAGAUUCAGUGUUCAGAUGAUUAUGUGGAAAGUGAAAUAGUGCAAGCGCUUUGAAACAAAUAUGAAGUUUGCUUUCUUUGAUAUUUUACUUUGCACUCAUUCCAAGAACACAUAGGGGAAACAAGCCUUCAUUAAGAAUAAAAUACUAUUUCUAGGGAAAGUUGCAGAUAAAAUCUGGCUGGUUUCAAGAGAAGGAGCAGGGACAGUAAAUUAAUACUUUAUGUUCUCUAUGUUAGCUAAUGUCAGACUUUGUUGCAGGAAUUCUCAUCUGGAAACUUUUUCAACAGAGAAGUAGGUCUUAAGUUUUCUUCUUAAGUAGUUUCCAUUUUCUACAGCAAAAUCUGGAUUUUACUCUUAUUUCUUGUUGUUUUAGGCUAGCAAAAUUCCACUAAUGUUGAAUAAUAUUAUUUGUCCUAAUACAGGAUUUCAUUAGAAAAUUAAAAGUGACACCUUUGGGUCCCUUAUAUGUCCCAUUGUUUGCAUUCAGAGUGAACAUCAAAAGUGCAGGUCUAAUUUUUAGCUUCUUCCUGUACAGCAUCAAUGGACUACUUAUUAAUUUUGAGUCUAAAUGUGAAAACUGGCUUCAUUACCUUAUUCAAAGUUCAUUUAUUUCAAUGAUUCUAUUCUAAUGGUGGGACACCCACUAAUGGCAGUGACCUAUUGCCUUUCAUACAUGUAAUUAUUGUUAAUCUAAUACUCUGUUCUUAAAGCGUGG